UUCGGGUCGCCGGCGAGUGGCAAACGGGUGAGUAACGCGUGGAUACCUGUCCUGUGGUGGGGAAUAACGUUUAGAAAUGAACGCUAACACCGCAUAAGCCCUGCGGGGGAAAGAUUUAUCGCCAUAGGAGGGGUCCGCGUCGGAUUAGCUAGUUGGUGGGGUAACGGCCUACCAAGGCGACGAUCCGUAGCUGGUCUGAGAGGAUGAUCAGCCACACUGGGACUGAGACACGGCCCAGACUCCUACGGGAGGCAGCAGUGGGGAAUAUUGCGCAAUGGAGGAAACUCUGACGCAGCGACGCCGCGUGGGUGAAGAAGGCCUUAGGGUUGUAAAGCCCUUUCAGUGGGAAAGAUGAUGACGGUACCCACAGAAGAAGCCCCGGCUAACUCCGUGCCAGCAGCCGCGGUAAUACGGAGGGGGCCAGCGUUGUUCGGAAUUACUGGGCGUAAAGGGCGCGUAGGCGGUUGAUCAAG
rnacentral:rRNA from 1 species